UAUCCCCCCCUGUCGUGCCCCUUGCCCUCCCCCACCGACCUGCAUAACGCGAAGAACCUUACCUACUCUUGUAUCCUCCUUUUGACUUUCAGAGAUGAUUGUCUUCGGUUCGGCCGGGGGAGUGACAGGUGCUGCAUGGCUGUCGUCAGCUCGUGUCGUGAGAUGUUGGGUUAAGUCCCGCAACGAGCGCAACCCUCAUCGUAUGUUGCCAUCAGGUAAUGCUGGGCACUCGUGCGAGACCGCCGGUGAUGAGCCGGAGGAAGGUGGGGACGACGUCAAGUCAUCAUGGCCCUUACGAGUAGGGCUACAAACGUGCUACAAUGGUGGUGACAGUGAGCAGCCACUCCGCAAGGAGGAGCUAAUCUCUAAAAGCCAUCUCAGUUCAGAUUGUCCUCUGCAACUCGAGGGCAUGAAGUUGGAAUCGCUAGUAAUCGUGGAUCAGCAUGCCACGGUGAAUACGUUCCCGGGUCUUGUACACACCG
rnacentral:rRNA from 1 species